rnacentral:tRNA from 1 species
GUUGUAGCUCAGUGGCAGAGCGCUUGUCUAGCAUGUGUGAGGCACUGGGUUCGAUUCUCAGCACACA